AGCGAACGCUGGCGGCAGGCUUAACACAUGCAAGUCGAGCGGGCACUUUCGGGUGUCAGCGGCGGACGGGUGAGUAACGCGUGGGAACGUGCCCUCUGGUUCGGAAUAACUCAGGGAAACUUGAGCUAAUACCGGAUACGCCCUUUUGGGGAAAGGCUUGCUGCCGGAGGAUCGGCCCGCGUCUGAUUAUCUAGUUGGUGAGGUAACGGCUCACCAAGGCGACGAUCAGUAGCUGGUCUGAGAGGAUGAUCAGCCACACUGGGACUGAGACAAGGCCCAGACUCCUACGGGAGGCAGCAGUGGGGAAUAUUGGACAAUGGGCGCAAGACUGAGCCAGCCAUGCCGCGGGAGUGAUGAAGGCGGUAGGGUUGUAAAGCUCUUUUACCCGGGACGAUAAUGACGGUACCGGAGGAAUAAGCCCCGGCUAACUUCGU
rnacentral:rRNA from 1 species